GAUGAACGCUAGCUACAGGCUUAACACAUGCAAGUCGAGGGACCGGCGCACGGGUGAGUAACACGUAUCCAACCUGCCCUUUACUCGGGGAUAGCCUUUCGAAAGAAAGAUUAAUACCCGAUAUAAAGGAUGGGGAUGCGUUCCAUUAGGUGGUUGGUGAGGUAACGGCCCACCAAGCCUUCGAUGGAUAGGGGUUCGGAGAGGAAGGUCCACCACAGUGGAACGGAGAAACGGUCCAAACGCCUACGGGAGGUAGCAGUGGUGAAUAGUGGGCAAUGGGCGGUAGCCUGAACCAGCCAAGUAGCGUGAAGGAUGAAGGCUUAUGGGUCGUAGACUUCUUUUAUAUAAGAAUAUGUAUUAUAUGAAUAAGGAUCGGCUAACUCCGUGCCAGCAGCCGCGGUAAUAC
rnacentral:rRNA from 1 species